rnacentral:rRNA from 1 species
CAUCAUACUGACACUGAGGCUCGAAAGCGUGGGUAGCAAACAGGAUUAGAUACCCUGGUAGUCCACGCCGUAAACGAUGUCUACUAGUCGUUGGGUCCCUUGAGGACUUAGUGACGCAGCUAACGCAAUAAGUAGACCGCCUGGGGAGUACGGCCGCAAGGUUAAAACUCAAAUGAAUNGNCGGGGGCCCGCACNAGCGGUGGAGCAUGUGGUUUANUUCGAUGCAACGCGAAGAACCUUACCUGGUCUUGACAUACACAGAAUCNUGUAGAGAUNCGAGAGUGCCUUCGGGAAUUNUGAUACAGGUGCUGCAUGGCUGUCGUCAGCUNGUGUCGUGAGAUGUUGGGUUAAGUCCCGCAACGAGCGCAACCCUUGUCCUUAGUUACCAGCGGGUUAAGCCGGGAACUCUAAGGAUACUGCCAGUGACAAACUGGAGGAAGGCGGGGACGACGUCAAGUCAUCAUGGCCCUUACGACCAGGGCUACACACNUGCUACAAUGGUAGGUACAGAGGGCAGCUACACAGCGAUGUGAUGCGAAUCUCAAAAAGCCUAUCGUAGUCCAGAUUGGAGUNUGCAACUCGACUCCAUGAAGUAGGAAUCGCUAGUAAUCGCGGAUCAGAAUGCCGCGGUGAAUACGUUCCCGGGCCUUGUACACACCGCCCGUCACACCAUGGGAGUUGAUUGCACCAGAAGUGGUUAGCCGAACCUUUUAGGACGGC